CUUUCCCAGUUCAUCAGUGCUGGGCACGACGCUUCCCAUCCCAGCGCCAACCAGCGCUUGGGUUCAAGCCGGGAAGGGGUGGGUGCGCUGGGAGGAUACCUGCAACCAGCACGGCAGCUUUGGGCCUCUGCCUGCAGCUCUCGGCACAGCCAGAGACAUAAAAUAGCUGAAGUGUGUGCCGUUUGAUGGAAAAACAGCUGCAGGAUAUAAAUUAUCUAGCAGACGGAGAUUAGUUUCUUCGAUAAGUGUGAGACAGAGACACCAGUUGCAGGUCGGAGCCAAGGUCAGAAGCGAGAGCCUGAACCGCAUACGGAGGAGGAGCUGCUCAGGUCAGACAGACCGUUAUUAUAGGUUCGGUCAGCAAUGCCAUUCUCACUUCCUGGCUAGCUAGCACAGAAGAAGUGUGCUUACUCCAACAGUGAACCAUCCUGCCAGUUGGAAGACAACUGCUUCAUUCCUAAUUUGAUUUUGUCUGGCAUUCACCUCCAACCUUCAGUUCUUGUUGCAUCUUUUUCUGCC